GUAUGGGGUGGUGGGGGUGGAAAAAUUUUAGAAUGCAACGGGAAUAUUGAUGACGUGGCAUAACAAAUCAAUUAAAAAAAAAAUUUUAGAAAUAUAUAUCCCAUCGUGAGUAGAAAAAAAUAUUUUUAUUAUAUUUUUAUUUGAAAAGAAGAAAGGUGAUUGUAUUGUUAUUGAUGACGUGGUGCAAGAUAGUGUAGAAUUCCGCGGGAGCGGGCGCGCACGUGAUGUGGAGGGACGGAACGAGGACGUCGCUCUCAGCGCCCGUGCGACCACACGACGCGCACGAUUCCGACGUUGCGGUAACCUCACCGGCGCGUGCUCUCCUCGCGCUUAUCCACCAAUGCGACGGUGACUCCACGCAUCUCCCGCUUCUUCUAGCAGCAAGAUAUUAUUCCAUGCUCCCGUCCCAUCUGUAUAUAGAUACACCAAUAAAUUGAUGUUUUGGAUUGGUCCCUUGUGAUUCACCAAUUCUAUUCGUGAUUAUUAAAAAAUUUAUUUAUACUUAUAAUUCAUGUGGGUGUCUCCUAUUAACCCAGUUAUGAGAGUGUAUACCAACAUAGUUGUAGAGAUAAUUCACACCAUUUAGGUCUUAUUUUGAUUAUUCACUUAGUUAUCGACACAGUAACUUAUUCAGUCAACCUACCGUAGUUGGCUUAUUUCGAUUGGUAUAUUUCUAGAUACUAUAUUCGCUUUUAUGUCAUUUUAUUGAUAAGAUAAAUUAUCUUUUGUAGGUGAAAUAUGCUGUACUACUAAACUAUGAAUUUCAAAGUCUCUCAAAAAGUAAAAAUCAAAUCCUUUUCUUUCAAUCACACUAGAAAAUUUUUUUAUAUCGAAUAAGUUGUUCUUGAACAACUUAUUCGAUCCAAUUUUUAAAAAUUGUAUAAGUACUUGAUAGUUGGUAUCCGAGAUUUUAGGUACAUUGCCUUUUUAUAUCACAUCUAGCUCUAGCUAACUAAAUUUACAUAUAAAAAUAUAAACGAACCAUGUAGUUUUC
rnacentral:lncRNA from 1 species